rnacentral:rRNA from 1 species
UACGUAGGGGGCAAGCGUUGUCCGGAUUUAUUGGGCGUAAAGAGCGUGUAGGCGGCCAAGCAGGUCAGCUGUGAAAACUCGAGGCUCAACCUCGAGACGUCGGUUGAAACCGCUUGGCUAGAGUCCGGAAGAGGAGAGUGGAAUUCCCGGUGUAGCGGUGAAAUGCGCAGAUAUCGGGAAGUACACCCGUGGCGAAGGCGGCUCUCUGGGACGGUACUGACGCUGAGACGCGAAAGCGUGGGGAGCGAACAGG